GACGAACGCUGGCGGCGUGCUUAACACAUGCAAGUCGAACGGUAAGGCCCUUCGGGGUACACGAGUGGCGAACGGGUGAGUAACACGUGGGCGAUCUGCCCUGCACUUCGGGAUAAGCCUGGGAAACUGGGUCUAAUACCGGAUAGGACCACUGCCUGCAUGGGUGGUGGUGGAAAGCUUUUGCGGUGUGGGAUGGGCCCGCGGCCUAUCAGCUUGUUGGUGGGGUGAUGGCCUACCAAGGCGACGACGGGUAGCCGGCCUGAGAGGGUGGCAGGGCACACUGGGACUGAGAUACGGCCCAGACUCCUACGGGAGGAAGCGGUGGGGAAUAUUGCACAAUGGGCGCAAGCCUGAUGCAGCGACGCCGCGUGAGGGAUGACGGCCUUCGGGUUGUAAACCUCUUUCAGCACCGACGAAGCGCAAGUGACGGUAGGUGCAGAAGAAGGACCGGCCAACUACGUGCCAGCCGCCGCAGUAAGAC
rnacentral:rRNA from 1 species